UCUGGUUUAGACACCUAUGAUCUUCCCAAAUCUCUUGAAACAAGGUUUCCUAAUGAAGAUGAUGUCCCAUGGAUAUCAUACUUCUUUCUCCUCCUCCAAUUAUUCUCCCUAACCCACAAGUUCUUGAAAAUUUUAAGGUCACUCAAGCCCAAUUGGCAAGUAAAGGUCUAUGUGUGGUCAUAUCUUGGAGAUGUAGUCAAAUAUUGACAAGCCGGGAGAGUUGGGUGUCAAAGUCUUGAGAAAGUUGGUGGUUCAAUCACUUUCAAAGUCACAUAGUGAAUUCCUUUGGGACUCCUAUGAAACAGACUAUGACAAGACCCUUAAUGAUCUUAUCUAUUUGAUAAGAUCAACUUCCUAAAACUUUAUGGACAUUGACAAUGAUGACAUUGGAUAUCUAGUAAAGCUCUCUCUUCCCAGUGGAAAGGGAUCGGCCAUAGUCAACUCGGUUGACCAAAUGGUAAAGAGAAAAGCUAAGUCUGUGAUAGUCCCGUGUACCUUUAUCAAAGGGUCCAUAUGUUUAUAUUGCCAAAGGAAGGGGCAUUGGUUGCGAAGCUGCCAGAUUUACCUAAGGAUGUUAAAGUCAAUAAGUUUGACUCUACUUCAGGUAAAGUCCACUAUCUAACUCUGUUAAGUUUCUAUUCNCUUACUACAUGAUGUGACUGGGUCACAUGUUGAUGUUUUUAGAAUCAAAGAAAAAGUGAAGGAACUUAAAGAAAGAAUAUCCUGAAUCUGAUCGUAUAGAUGGAUUUCUAUUGCGUAGUUUGAAGAUCGGAUUCUUGAGCUACUUCUUAGGAGUUUUGAGAUAUUGCUUAGGAAUAGAUAACAACAAGUUUUCAUAUGGAUUGUAAGGAUAAGGUUUUCCGCAUAGUUUUAAAAUAAAAGAAAAUUUUUGAUUUUAUUUAUUUUAAAAUAUCCUUACAAUGGCAUUUGAGGAAAAAUUGUUGCUUAUAUGAUUCCAUUAAUAGCAAGAGUGGAAAUAUGAAAUUGAUUCUUUCAUUUGUGGUAAUGUCUAAAUUUACCAAAUAAGGAAAGAUUCUCAUCACCCAAGUUUCAAUUGGACCGGAACUUGGAAUCAUGCAAGUUGUAUAGCAUGAUGAAUGAGAACUU
rnacentral:lncRNA from 1 species